CGGGCAUUUUAUCAAACACUAAAUGGGCGUGAAAAACUUCAGCAUAUUGUGCUCAAUUGAGGUUAUGACUAGCCCAAAAUUUGUUAUAAACACGAGAUAAAUCAGUCCAAUCGACACCUAGAGCCUGUAUAUUCUAAAACCAUAAACAAUCAACAAGAAAAUUGUACUAACAGAGACACGGAAAACAUGCUUUGGGAGCUCAGACGUUUGUGCUUGAAUGGGAACUGAAGUUCAAAGAGGGAAGACGACUUACAAGGCUUUCCUGGUGAAAUUCGCAGGCGGCAAUGGAUAUCCGAUGGGUGGUGACGGCUCGGUGAGUUGGAAAUCUCCGCUGCUGUUGCUGCUCAAGCCAUCCACGGAAGAGGAGCAAGUGGAGAAGAAUUUGAUGAGAGUCUCGACGUCGUAGCUGUUCUUGCCCUUUUCACCGAGAACAGAAAGGUUGCUGAGGAUGAGUUUUAUUUUGGGCUUGGCGCGGACAGAGACGGCGGUAAAGGGGAAGGACUGUGGUGGAGGCGUUGGCAGAAAAGGCUUGUAUUAGAAGUGGGGAGGAGCAGAAUGGGAAAUGAGGGGUUUUUGUGGAGGAUUCGUUUGGGGAAAUUGGGGGGAAUUUGAGGACGGAGGGUGGAAAGAGAGUGGUGGCAGCCGGCAGCCGGCAGCCGGUUGAGGUGGUGGGAAAUUUGGCAGUGGUGAUUGGAAAAAUUUUUAUCGGAUGAUUGAAGCUGAAACCCCCAUUUCCCUUUUGUGUGUUUUUUUCGUUGCUUGUUUCCUCCAUUUUUUGCUCAGCCCGCCGCCUGGUUCCUCUUUUCCCUCUGCUUUUCCUUUUUAUCCCUCGCGCUCUUCUUCUUUUUUCUUUCUUUCCCAGUUCGCCGAAGCUUUCAUGCCCAAAACCUAGCCGCCCCUCUCUGUUUUUCUCCCUCUGCUCCCUUUGCUUAGCUUUCUUUCCCUCUUUUUUUUUGUGUCCGAAGCCUC
rnacentral:lncRNA from 1 species